GUGAAUCAUCGAAUUUUUGAACGCAAAUUGCACUUUCUAGUAUUCUGGAAAGUAUGCCUGUUUGAGGGUCAGUUAAAUAAACAACGGCGUUGUUGCUGCCUUUCGUGGUGACGCGUCGGAAUUGGGCCGUCAUACCUUCGGUUAAGUGACUUAAAAUUUUUGCAUGAUCUUCGAACGUAUUUAAAUCGUUCACGUACGUUCGAGAUAUCGACUGCUUAUUAGGUUCGGUCAUUCCCCUG
rnacentral:misc_RNA from 1 species